GGGCCUUUUGGACCUGUCAAUGUCAGGUUUUACAUAAUCAGGGUAUUCACACAUGAAUCCUCCCACUCUUCUUAUAUAAUCCUCUCUUUCUAAAAGUCUACAUCUCUCUCUCUCUCUCUCUCUCUCUCUCUCUCUCUCUCUCUCUCUCAAAUUAAAUCCCCUCUUUCUCUCUCUAGGUUUUUCAGACCGCAAAAGGAACAAACGUUUCCAACAUCGUUCUCGGAUAUAUGCAAGAAGAAGAAAGUGAAGUUUCAAUUACAAUGAACGAGGUCGUUGAUGAUGAUUGUGUUGUUGCGAGAGAGGAGAAAGACGAAGAGGAGGACGAAAACGUUGUGAUUGUGGCUGUUUGUUUGUUCUAAAUUCGGUGCUAUCCUUACCUGAGCUUUCACCCUAAUCAACCUUUCCUCUAUAAUUCUCGUUUUGAUUCUUGUUUCUUUUUUGACUUGUUGCUUUUUUUUCUUCUUGUAGAUUUGAUUUUCUUGACCUUGUAAGACCUAUUCUUGACCUUGUAAGACCCAACCACAUCUUCUAUCUCCUUACCUUUUGUUGUCGUGUGGACCUUAGAUCACUGUAAAUUGAUUAAAGGUCUUUUCACUAUCUUUCUUCGUUCCCACCCAACUCACGUUCUCCUUCCUUGUCUAUCCCUUCUGAGCUUUUUUUUCUCUUUAAAGAGAGAUACUUAAGGGCUAUGUUUCUUGGCAGAAACAUAUCCCAUUUUUUUACCUUUCAGUAGUAGACAAAAAGAAACCUAAUUCUUCAUCUUCAUCAACAAGAACAAACCCAAAUCCUCCAUGUCAACCGGCAUCAAGUGUCCUGUGUCUGUUAAGCCAGCAUGUUAACAAAGAAGAAAACCUAGAAUAUGGUAGCAUAUAUGAUAUAUUUUGAAGAUCUACAAACUCUUUUUAUCAUUGUUUUUAUCAUGUUAUGGGUCAAUUAAAGUGAAAUAGACUCACGAUGCCAAUGUGUUUUUUGGUUUUUGUUUUUUUGAUUUUUAUACAUUUAUGUGGUACUUUAGUUGGUCA